rnacentral:rRNA from 1 species
UGCAGUCGAACGCUUCUUUCCUCCCGAGUGCUUGCACUCAAUUGGAAAGAGGAGUGGCGGACGGGUGAGUAACACGUGGGUAACCUACCCAUCAGAGGGGGAUAACACUUGGAAACAGGUGCUAAUACCGCAUAACAGUUUAUGCCGCAUGGCAUAAGAGUGAAAGGCGCUUUCGGGUGUCGCUGAUGGAUGGACCCGCGGUGCAUUAGCUAGUUGGUGAGGUAACGGCUCACCAAGGCCACGAUGCAUAGCCGACCUGAGAGGGUGAUCGGCCACACUGGGACUGAGACACGGCCCAGACUCCUACGGGAGGCAGCAGUAGGGAAUCUUCGGCAAUGGACGAAAGUCUGACCGAGCAACGCCGCGUGAGUGAAGAAGGUUUUCGGAUCGUAAAACUCUGUUGUUAGAGAAGAACAAGGACGUUAGUAACUGAACGUCCCCUGACGGUAUCUAACCAGAAAGCCACGGCUAACUACG